CCAGCAGCCGCGGUAAUUCCAGCUCCAAUAGCGUAUAUUUAAGUUGCUGCAGUUAAAAAGCUCGUAGUUGGAUUUCGGAUGGGAUUUGCCGGUCCGUCGUUUCGAUGUGCACUGGCCAGUCCCAUCUUGUUGUCGGGGACUAGCUCCUGGGCUUAACUGUCCGGGACUAGGAGCUGACGAGGUUACUUUGAGUAAAUUAGAGUGUUCAAAGCAAGCCAUCGCUCUGAAUACAUUAGCAUGGAAUAACAUGAUAGGACUCUGGCUUAUCUUGUUGGUCUGUGAGACCAGAGUAAUGAUUAAGAGGGACAGUCGGGGACAUUCGUAUUUCAUUGUCAGAGGUGAAAUUCUUGGAUUUAUGAAAGACGAACUUCUGCGAAAGCAUUUGUCAAG
rnacentral:rRNA from 1 species